GCAUCGGUUUAGCUCAAUGGUUACUUCUUACCCUGAAGUUUCCACUCUCCGGACCGCGGACCAGAGGGUUCGACCAUGGGCACUGUCCGAUGUUUUC
ensembl:vault_RNA Vault Vault RNA